AUUUAACUUGUUAUUUAAUUUCUUGUUUAUCCUUAGUCAUAUUUCCAAGAAAAGCUCCGAUUACUUUAUAAUUUAAAUAACCUGUACCCUAAACCGACACAGGUAGGUAGGUAGAGAAUACUAAGGGGCGCGAGAUAACUCUCUCUAAGGAACUCGGCAAAAUAACUCCGUAACUUCGGGAGAAGGAGUGGCUAGAGAUAGCCCGCAGUGACCAGGCCCAGGCGACUGUUUAUCAAAAACACAGGUUUCCGCAAAAUCGUAAGAUAAAGUAUGGGAGCUGACGCCUGCCCAGUGUCGGAAGGUAAAAGAAGUUGGUUAUUCUUCGGAAGAAGCUGACGACUGAAGCCCCGAUGAACGGCGGCUGUAACACUGACAGUCCUAAGGUAGCGAAAUUCAUUGCCAAGUAAGUUUUGGCCCGCACGAAAGGCGUAACGAUCUGGGUACUGUCUCGGAGAGAGACUCGGUGAAAUAGAAAUGUCUGUGAAGAUGCGGACUACCUAUACCAGGACAGAAAGACCCUGUGAAGCUUGACUGUAGCUUGGAAUUGGAUUCGGGCUCUUUUUGUGCAGUCUAGGUGGGAGGCGAUGAUAUACUGUUUUCGGACAGUGUGGAGCCAUCAGUGAGAGACCACUCUGAAAGAGCUAGGAUCCUAAUACGAAUCCUUGAAUCAGGAUCGUUAACAGUUUCAGGCGGACAGUUUGUUUGGGGCGAAUACCUCCCAAAAAGUAACGGAGGUGUGCAAAGGCUUCCUCAGGCUGGACGGAAAUCAGCUGUAGAGUGUAAAAGUAUAAGGGAGCUUGACUGCAAGACCAACAAGUCGAGCAGGAGUGAAAGCUGGCUUUAGUGAUCCGACGGUACCGAGUGGAAGGGCCGUCGCUCAACGAAUAAAAGUUACUCCAGGAUAACAGGCUAAUCACUUCCAAGAGUUCGUAUCGACGAAGUGGUUUGGCACCUCGAUGUCGGCUCAUCGCAACCUGGGGCUGUAGUCGGUCCCAAGGGUUGGACUGUUCGUCCAUUAAAGCGGUACGUGAGCUGGGUUCAGAACGUCGUGAGACAGUUCGGUCCAUAUCCGGUAUAGGCGUAAGAGCAUUGGGAGGAGCUCGACAUUGUACGAGAGGACCCGAAGGGUCGUACCGAUGGUGUACCAGUUCUUGUACCAACAGGAAACGCUGGGUAGCUAUGUACGAAGUGGAUAAUCGCUGAAAGCAUUUAAGUGAGAAGCCCACCUCAAGAUGAAUGCUCUCUAUUAGAUCGCAGCAAGAUAAGCUGAUUAAUUGGCGUUAGGUGUAAGGUCAGUAAUGGCUUCAGCCGAGACGUACAAAGGAUC
rnacentral:rRNA from 1 species